CCAGACUCCCACGGGAGGCAGCAGUGGGGAAUAUUGGACAAUGGGGGGAACCCUGAUCCAGCGACGCCGCGUGAGUGAAGAAGUAUUUCGGUAUGUAAAGCUCUAUCAGCAGGGAAGAAAGAAAUGACGGUACCUGACUAAGAAGCCCCGGCUAACUACGUGCCAGCAGCCGCGGUAAUACGUAGGGGGCAAGCGUUAUCCGGAUUUACUGGGUGUAAAGGGAGCGUAGACGGCAAUGCAAGUCCGGAGUGAAAGCCCAUGGCUUAACCAUGGUACUGCUCUGGAAACUGUGGAGCUUGAGUGCGGGAGGGGCAGGCGGAAUUCCUGGUGUAGCGGUGAAAUGCGUAGAUAUCAGGAGGAACACCGGUGGCGAAGGCGGCCUGCUGGACUGCAACUGACGUUGAGGCCCGAAAGCGUGGGGAGCAAACAGGAUUAGAUACCCUAGUAA
rnacentral:rRNA from 1 species